rfam:Streptomyces caelestis strain NRRL B-24567 P188contig51.1, whole genome shotgun sequence.
CGGGCGGUGUACUCCCAGAUGGCGUCCUCGCCCAGCAGCGCCUGUUCACCGAAGUAGGCGCCGUCGGCGAGGACCCCGAGGGAUUCGUCCUCGCCGUAGGGACCGGUGCCGACCCGCUCCACCCUGCCGUGCGCCAGCAGGUACACCUCGUCGGCCGGACUGCCGAAGGAGGCGAUGACCUGACCGGCCUCGAUCUCCCGUUGCCGGCAGCGGGCGGCCAGCUCGGUCAGCACCUCCUCGUCCUCGUACGACCGCAGCACCGGCAGUUCGCCCAGUUCCGCGGGGAUGAUCUCGACGCGGUCGCCGGUCUUCACGAACGUCAUCCGGCCAUCGCCCACGGCGUAGGUCAGCCGCCGGUUGACGCGGUACGUACCGCCCUGCACGUCGACCCAGGGCAGCAUGCGCAGCAGCCAGCGCGAGCUGAUCUCCUGCAUCUGCGGCACGGACUUGGUCGUGGUGGCCAGGUUCCGCGCGGCCGCCGUACCGAGGCUCUGCUGCUGCCUGG